rnacentral:rRNA from 1 species
GAUGAACGCUGGCGGCGUGCUUAACACAUGCAAGUCGAACGAAGCACUUUUACAGAUUUCUUCGGAAUGAAGUUUUAGUGACUGAGUGGCGGACGGGUGAGUAACGCGUGGGUAACCUGCCUCACACAGGGGGAUAACAGUUGGAAACGGCUGCUAAUACCGCAUAAGCGCACAGUACCGCAUGGUACGGUGUGAAAAACUCCGGUGGUCUGGGAUGGACCCGCGUCCGAUUAGUUAGUUGGUGGGGUAACGGCCCACCAAGACUGCGAUCGGUAGCCGACCUGAGAGGGUGACCGGCCACAUUGGGACUGAGACACGGCCCAGACUCCUACGGGAGGCAGCAGUGGGGAAUAUUGCACAAUGGAGGAAACUCUGAUGCAGCGACGCCGCGUGAGCGAAGAAGUAUUUCGGUAUGUAAAGCUCUGUCAGCAGGGAAGAUAAUGACGGUACCUGACCAAGAAGCCCCGGCUAACUACGUGCCAGCAGCCGCGGU